rnacentral:tmRNA from 1 species
CGAGGCGGUCGGACGACGAGUAUCCCGAGAGACGGUUCCGCUCCCUAACGGUCUUUCAUACGGGGUAUCAUUCAUUCGGAGAUAGUGCGGCGGGGCGUUCCGGCCGACGCAUGAAAUUCAAGGAACUGGGAUUCGGGUUCGGUCGUCGUCUGCCAGACCCGGAUAGAAGGACGAAACGACGAAUAAGCGUGUAGAAAGCUUUCGGGUUCCCUGUUUGGACGCGGGUUCGACUCCCGCCACCUCCACGA